UGCUUGAGAAAGGACUGAGGAAGCCAGCAACCCUAAGAUUCCAUUUUGGAGACAGACAGAAGAGUGAUGGGAUGGCUGUGGCAGUUGGGAAGGCUGCAGUGAAAAUAACCUGUUUCUUGCUGAUCACAGGAAGGAUUCCUACUGACUUCCAAUUUCAACAUUCUACUGUCAUUAGUCUCUUGGAAACAGCAGUCUAAAUAAAACUGUGAAAAGUCAAGACUACAGCAGAAAGAACUACUGAGCUUCAAAAAUGGCCUCAAGGACUGAUCUCCUAAUAGGCACAGAGAAAGCAUAGGCUAUGGUUAGACUGGCUGGAUUUUCCUCUGCUUCUGCGGCCCAGUGGCUAUAUAAACUAUGUAAAUAACACAAUCUUGGGGUUCACAGUGUCAUCAAAUAUCCUGAAGCAGGUCAGGGUGCCUAUGCUGGAGUCUAUGGUAAUCAAGAAGAACCCAGCAUCUAGGGGUGCCUAUUUGGGAGUCUAAGGUAGUCAUUAAACCCCGCAGAAGUAAGUACUCCUGAGGCAAGCAUUCUACCACAGAACUACCUGUACAGCUCAGACGCUACAUUCUUUAACAGUUUGGAGGGUGGAUGCUACAUGUCGGGGCUUCAGAUCCAGCAUUGGGUGGCUCAGCUGACAAGUCAUGGUGCAUGACCUGGCAUCAUCAGCAUGAUCUGGGCACUGGAGACACAGGAUUCGUAGUCCUUUUGGUACCCACUGAAGAACAGCCUUCAUUUUCAGGAGAUCUCUGCAUGAUCCCAGAGAAGACAGACAAUCAGACAGAGAGUGGGCAAGAGGCAGUAGUGCAAGGGGAGAGAAGAUGCUGCCAAUCCUAUUUUAUGGACAACAAAAUCUUUGACUCACAUUUAUAAGACAGGGCAAAGCAGCAUGGAGGCAAGAGACCUUUCCGCUGAGUAAUCUG